GGGGUUGUGGCUCAGUGGUAGAGUACUUGCUUAGCAUGUGUAAGGCACUAGGUUCAAUUCUUAGCACCUCA
rnacentral:tRNA from 1 species